GGUAACCUGCGGAGGGAUCAUUACACAAAUAUGAAGGCGGGCUGGAACCUCUCGGGGUUACAGCCUUGCUGAAUUAUUCACCCUUGUCUUUUGCGUACUUCUUGUUUCCUUGGUGGGUUCGCCCACCACUAGGACAAACAUAAACCUUUUGUAAUUGCAAUCAGCGUCAGUAACAAAUUAAUAAUUACAACUUUCAACAACGGAUCUCUUGGUUCUGGCAUCGAUGAAGAACGCAGCGAAAUGCGAUAAGUAGUGUGAAUUGCAGAAUUCAGUGAAUCAUCGAAUCUUUGAACGCACAUUGCGCCCUUUGGUAUUCCAAAGGGCAUGCCUGUUCGAGCGUCAUUUGUACCCUCAAGCUUUGCUUGGUGUUGGGCGUCUUGUCUCUAGCUUUGCUGGAGACUCGCCUUAAAGUAAUUGGCAGCCGGCCUACUGGUUUCGGAGCGCAGCACAAGUCGCACUCUCUAUCAGCAAAGGUCUAGCAUCCAUUAAGCCUUUUUUCAACUUUGACCUCGAUCAGUAGUCC
rnacentral:rRNA from 1 species